AAACUUAAAGGAAUUGACGGGGACCCGCACAAGCGGUGGAUGAUGUGGUUUAAUUCGAUGCAACGCGAAAAACCUUACCUACCCUUGACAUGUCUAGAAGUUACCAGAGAUGGUUUCGUGCUCGAAAGAGAACUAGAACACAGGUGCUGCAUGGCCGUCGUCAGCUCGUGUCGUGAGAUGUUGGGUUAAGUCCCGCAACGAGCGCAACCCUUGUCAUUAGUUGCUACGUAAGGGCACUCUAAUGAGACUGCCGGUGACAAACCGGAGGAAGGUGGGGAUGACGUCAGGUCAUCAUGGCCCUUAUGGGUAGGGCUACACACGUCAUACAAUGGCCGGUACAGAGGGCUGCCAACCCGCGAGGGGAGCCAAUCCCAGAAAACCGGUCGUAGUCCGGAUCGCAGUCUGCAACUCGACUGCGUGAAGUCGGAAUCGCUAGUAAUCGCGGAUCAGCUUGCCGCGGUGAAUACGUUCCCGGGUCUUGUACACACCGCCCGUCACACCAUGGGAGCGGGUUCUGCCAGAAGUAGUUAGCCUAACCGCAAGGAGGGCGAUUACCACGGCAGGGUUCGUGACA
rnacentral:rRNA from 1 species